rnacentral:rRNA from 1 species
UACAGAGGGUGCAAGCGUUGUUCGGAAUUACUGGGCGUAAAGCGCGUGUAGGUGGCGAUGUAAGUCGGGUGUGAAAUCCCUCGGCUCAACCGAGGAAGUGCACUCGAUACUGUGUCGCUUGAGUGUUGGAGGGGAUGGCGGAAUUCCCGGUGUAGAGGUGGAAAUUCGUAGAUAUCGGGAGGAACACCUGUGGCGAAGGCGGCCAUCUGGACAACUACUGACACUGAGACGCGAAGCGUGGGUAGCAAACAGGA